GUUUCCAUAGUGUAGUGGUCAUCACGCUUGCCUAACAUGCAAGAGGUCCCUGGUUCGAAACCAGCUGGAAACA